AUGACAUCCCGAUGACAGUGGCCAACACCACCUCAUGGGCAUGAACACCCUCGAUGCUGCUGGCGGUCUUGCACGCUACCUAUCUACCUGUAUCUCCUUGAGGUCAAGAUGGACGUUCAGGGAUUUAGUGUUGGGAGUUCAAUUUCAAUGAUGGAGCUGUUGGGGCGAACUUUUCUAGAUGCAGUGUGAUGCGAACAGUUUGGCCGCAACCGUGGCGGUGGUGGCCAUGUCAUCCUUGGAUUUGGGAGGGCCUGACAAGAUGGUGAGCAUGGUGAAGAAAUCUAUGCCGGAGAUUGGUGGACCCACAGCCAUCGGGGUAGGUCGUUUAGCUGUUGGAAGUUUGAUCUCCUGUAGGGCGUAGGGAGCGAGAAGACCUACCGAUGGAGGUUAUAGUGCUGCUUGGUCUAUGGGAACUCGGCUAGUUGUCUUUUAUACUUGAAAGUGCUGAGGAGUGAAGUGGCCCCUGAGACCUGAUAUUAGGAAGCACUACGUGAAAUGUCAAGAUGAGCCGGACUUGCAACUUGUGCUUUGUCUCUUGGCUGGUUGUCAAAUAUGCUUCACCUUUGACAUGUCUUUAUUGCCGAAAGCUGGUGCAUGGGCUUCGCCCUUCGACUUGUCUUUAUUGCCUACGAUGGGAGCGCACCAGGAGCUAGGGAGCAUAACUAUGUGUCAGUGCCUGCACCUUCUGUUGCCGAUGUGGACUUGGGAAUGCCUAACUUGUCAAUGAGCAUGUAGCAGCAGUUCUCUCCCAGGGCAUUGAGUUCACUGCGCCACAACUGUCUCUCUUUUGACUGUGGUCCAGGGAGGGCCUGACUUGAUGGUGAGCAUGGUGAAGAAAUCUAUGCUUGAGAUGGGUGAACCCGCAGCCAUUGGGGAAUUUCGUUUAGCUGCUGGAAGUUUGAUCUCCCGUAGGGCAGACGGAGCGAGACGACCUACCGAUGGAGGUUGUGGUGCUGGUUUGUCUAUGGGAACUCGGCUGGUUUUCUUUUAUAUUUGGAAGCACUGGGGCCCUGAGACCUGAUAUUUGGAAGCUCGGCAUGAAAUGUAAGACAAGCCGGAUGUGCAACUUGUGCUUUGUCUGUUGGCUGGUUGGUUCCGAAAGUGCUAAUAGUUAUGGCUGGUGAUACAUAAAAUGGCCUUAUCGUUGCCUGUUGGCUCGUUGUUUUCUGGUGAAGUGUUGGAGGCUGAUGGUAUUGAGCCAGACGCUCCUUCUGUCUGAGGCACACAAGAUGCUGGUGCAUGGGCUUCACACUUCGACUUGUCAUAUUGUUGCCUAUGAUGGGAGCGCAGUCACUGCCAGUGAUGGGAGAGCAGAACUGAAGCAUAGUCGACAACGGUUCAGUGGUGGCUGCCCGUUCCUCGGUUUUUGGCAUCAGUUGGGUCUAUUUAAAGAGUAGAAGAAAGCAUUUGAGCUUCGGCACAAAGAAUCUGGUCGUCCAACACCUCCCCUGGCAUAGCGACACCCGCUUCUCGCAGCACCUCCGGUUGAAGGCGUCAGUUGGGUCUGUUUAAAGAGCAGCAGAAGAAAGCAUUUGAGAUAAGGCACAUGAAUCAAGUGCCAAACAAUUUUGAUGUCCAGCACCUCCCCUGGCAUGGCGGCAAUUGUUCUUGUGUGGUGUUUCUUAAGAUGCACGACUGUGGCAACUUGGUGUGGGGCUUGGUGAUUUUUCGUCGUCGCUGUCUUCGACGUUGGUGGUGCGCCGCCUUGCUUCGAGCGUCAUCGUUGCCUCCUGUGCUUCUACUACUUAGGUAAGUUCCUGGUCUCUCCUUCCUCCUCUCAUUUGAGCUGUGGCCAUAAUGUGCUCUGCUCCGGUUAUCGAGCCGAUGUUCUAGUGGUUGUGGUCAGGUGGUGGUUCGGGCCAUCGAGUCGAUGAGCUAUAUUGAAAAAGCUGACCGGUCAUCGAGCCGAUGUUCUAGUGGUUGUGGUCAGGUGGUGGUUCUGGCCAUCGAGUCGAUGAGCUAUAUUGAAAAAGUUGACCAGUCAUCGAGCCGAUGUUCUAGUGGUUGUGGUCAGGUGGUGGUUCUGGCCAUCGAGUCGAUGAGCUAUAUUGAAAAGUUGACAUGUUCAGGCUUAGUGAUUUGAAAGAUCAUGUUCCGGCUGUUUGUAACAAGAUUGAAAGUUUGAAACUCUAGUUGUAUUCAGGUUUCCGCGUACCCCCCGGGUGGUGUGUGCAUGUCGAGCAUGGGGCGGCCCAUGUCAUACGAGCAGGAAGGCCGUUUACUUGUUGGCAGUUUGAGCUCCUGUAGGGCAGAUGGAGCGAGAAGACUGACAAAAGGAGGUUGUAUAGCCUGCUUGGUUUAUGGGAACUCUUCUGGUUUUCUUUAUAUUUGAAAGCACUGAGAUAAGUGCCCCCUGAGACCUGAUGUUUGGAAGCGCUAGAUGAAAUGUAAGACUAGUCGGACGAGUGCAACGUGUGCCUUUUCUAUUGGCUGGUUGUCGCCGAAAGCGCUGAUUGUUAUGGCUGGUGAUACAUAAAAAAGAGUUCUUGUUGUUGCCUGUUGGGUCAUUGUUUUCUGGUGUUGAUAUCCAUGUCAUUUGCGACAUUGCCUCCCUUUUCUUCAGAAUGGAUUGA